UACGGAGGGCGCGAGCGUUAAUCGGAAUUACUGGGCGUAAAGCGCGCGUAGGCUGUUGUGUAAGUUGGGGGUGAAAUCCCACGGCUUAACCGUGGAACAGCCCUUGAUACUGCGCGACUUGAAUCCGGGAGAGGGUGGCGGAAUUCCAGGUGUAGGAGUGAAAUCCGUAGAUAUCUGGAGGAACAUCAGUGGCGAAGGCGGCCACCUGGACCGGUAUUGACGCUGAGGCGCGAAAGCGUGGGGAGCAAACAGG
rnacentral:rRNA from 1 species